UCCCACAUUCUCAAGACGUGAACUGUUUGAGGCCACGAAUAUCUUUUAAUUCUUUUGGGUGGUAGGAAGCAGUAGCACCCACUCUCCGCUCUCUUGCAAUUGGAGUCCCUCGGUUGCCGAUUCACAUGGCAUCUAAUUUCCAUGGAAAAUAUUUUAUCCAAAAUUAAACAAAUAAUCAAGCCUUUCGGUGAAAAUAACGGAUACCUAUCCACACUCAUUUUUACUUAUCACAUACCUCUCUCAAUUUUCUGCCGUUGGAUCGAAUGAAUUAAAGAAGAUCAAUGACAAAAAGUUAACAAGAAUAUGUGGAGGUAAAAAUGAGUGUGUGAAUAGCACCAUCCUUUAGAAUCCAUCACCUUUUAGCCUUAUUGCCAAAAUUGUCACCUUCACUACUUGUUUUGCUCUUUCUACGACAUCCGGAGAAACUUUUUAGUAUGUCGUUUAUAUGAAAGAAUUGAUAUAUGAGGAAACGAUAUAGUUGAUAUAUCUCGGAUACAAGAUAUACUAUAACAUAUGAAAGAAUUGAUAUUAUGUAACGGUGUGAUAAUCACAUUAAAAAGUUGUUCCAAUUUCUGCACAACAAGUAAUCAAGUUUGCAACUAAAUGCAUUUCACAAAAAGUAAAGAGUUGUGUAAACAGAAUAAUGACUAGAGAUUUGUGACAGCAAAUACAGGAAAUAUUAUCUUUGAAUUUUUUGUGGUUACUCUCUUGAUUCUUUUUUUUUUUUUGGGAAACGACUCUCUUGAUUCUUUUGCUUUGCAAGUUGCAACUUUUAUUUCUAAAAAAUGAUUCUUUUCCCACUUUCAGCAGCCCACAAUAAG
rnacentral:lncRNA from 1 species